rnacentral:rRNA from 1 species
CCUACGGGAGGCUGCAGUGGGGAAUAUUGGACAAUGGGGGGAACCCUGAUCCAGCCAUGCCGCGUGUGUGAAGAAGGCCCUCGGGUUGUAAAGCACUUUCAGUGAGGAAGAACGCCUGGUGGUUAAUACCCAUCAGGAAAGACAUCACUCACAGAAGAAGCACUGGCUAACUCCGUGCCAGCAGCCGCGGUAAUACGGAGGGUGCGAGCGUUAAUCGGAAUUACUGGGCGUAAAGCGCGCGUAGGUGGCUUGAUAAGCCGGUUGUGAAAGCCCCGGGCUCAACCUGGGAACGGCAUCCGGAACUGUCAAGCUAGAGUGCAGGAGAGGAAGGUAGAAUUCCCGGUGUAGCGGUGAAAUGCGUAGAGCUCGGGAGGAAUACCAGUGGCGAAGGCGGCCUUCUGGACUGACACUGACACUGAGGUGCGAAAGCGUGGGUAGCAAACAGGAUUAGAUACCCCAGUAGUC